UGACGGCCCUGCUAAAGAAGCACCGGCCAACUACGUGCCAGCAGCCGCGGAAAUACGUAGGGUGCGAGCGUUGUCCGGAAUUAUUGGGCGUAAAGGGCUCGUAGGCGGUUUGUCGCGUCGGGAGUGAGAACCAGGUGCUUAACACCUGGCUUGCUUUCGAUACGGGCAGACUAGAGGUAUGCAGGGGAGAACGGAAUUCCUGGCGUAGCGGUGAAGUGCGCAAAUAUCAGGAGGAACACCGGUGGCGAAGGCGGUUCUCUGGGCAUGACCUGACGCUGAGGAGCGAAAGUGUGGGGAGCCAACAGGAUUAGAUACCCUGGUAGUCCACACCGUAAACGUUGGGCGCUAGGUGUGGGGUCCAUUCCACGGAUUCCGUGCCGCAGCUAACGCAUUAAGCGCCCCGCCUGGGGAGUACGGUCGCAAGGCUAAAACUCAAAGGAAUUGACGG
rnacentral:rRNA from 1 species